rnacentral:rRNA from 1 species
GCCAACGGCGAUAACACUUUGAAUACACCAGUUCUAGACACUGAAGAUAACCAACGUUGCGCGUGGUUGGUAUACGGAUCGGUGACCAUUUGGGCAGUCGCGUGGUGCUGACU